CGCGUGCAAAGUGCCAGCCAGCCAGCCAGCAGCGGCGGCGGCUUAACCUCCAGCCGCGGCAGAGAUUCGCCGAGCGCCGCCGCUGCAUGCAGCACUUGUUGCAAUUCUGGCCGCUCCUGCCGAGGAAAGCAAAACGAGGAGCAACUGGUUCCCUUUCGAAACUCGCCCUAGGCCGCCUUUUGCCAUCGCCCAGCCUGCAAUAACGGAUGAAGCAAAUGGGUGGAGUGCGUUGCGUGAAUGCAGCUCGAGGUGGCAAAGAGGUGUCGUGCAAAAAAAAAAAAAAAAAGCCCAGCGCGGGAAACUUAGCCGGCUGCAAAAAGGGACUUGGUCUGAGUGCACCAAAUGUCUGCCAGCCGCUUAAAAAAAAAAAAAAAAGUGGGAGGAUCGAAGGGAGGACAGAAUUGCACCGUAUUGGAAGAAAGACGUGUGCAAGGACGUGAAUGCUUGCAAAGUGAUGUGCGACGUGAAGCCCAGCGAACGGAACGGAACGGAAUAGAAUAGGACCUUGGAGGUCUUCUAGUCCAGCCUCCUGCUCAAGCAGGAGAACCUAUACUAUUUCAGAUAAGCGGCUGUCUAGUUUCUUUUUAAAAGCCUCCAGUGAUGGAGCGCCCACGAUUUCUAAAGGCAAGCUAUUCCACUGGUUAAUUGUCCUCGCUGUUAGGACAAACAGCGAACUCCCUCGCCCUCGCGUUCAAAGCAUCAUCCAAGGAGAUCAUGGGCGGAUCCUGCCCGAAUCGCCCUCCAAGCUGAAACCUCUCUCUCUUCAUUCUCUCUCUACCCGGCUCGAGGGCGGAUCCCUCACAGCUCCGCUUCCCUUCGGCAAAGCGCAGCCCGCGGGUCACCCCAUUUGCCCGGCAGCGGACGUGGCCAAUCGGAGGGGGGCGGCGGAAGGGGGCGGAGCCUCGAGCCUUGAGGAGGCGGGCCUUUCGCCUGCUUUGACCGAACAACCUCGGACGAGGGGUUUGACGCGCUGGAAGCCGGCGAGAGGAUGAGGUGACUUCGGCCGGUGCCUCGCCUGUUUCUUUUUUAUUGGCGUCGACCGAAGGACUAUAACCCGCUUCUCCCCCGUGUUAACGCCAAGGGGGAAACCUUAGAAGGCAUUUUAAAAAAAAAACAUACCUUCCUGGAGUGUUUCUGUAGUGCUCAUAGACGCUUGCAGGAAAAAGGUCUCUCUUUAAAAUACUGGAAAAAUCUUUUCAGUCGACAUUAUUCGGGCAGGAUAACGAGAGAUUCGGUGAAAGGGAGUGUUAGGGUCAAAGUCAAUAUGGGUGCUGGACUAGCAUGGGGAAAACCCAGGUUCACCGUCCCUCCUUUGGUAUGGAAGUUGUUGGAUGAUUGGUUGGAUCAAUUACCCUCACAGGGUGUCUAUGGAGAUUCUCAGUCAUCCAGGUCAUGGUUGUCCCAAAGGUGCUUUUUUUCAAAUGGCAACUGGACUUUCUGGUUUUUCUUUGAAGACCUUUCGCUUCCCAUCCAAGAAUCCAGUCCACCGUGCAGUCAGAGCUGAAGAAGCUUCUUGGAUGAGAAACGAAAGGUCUUCAAAGAAAAAAACAGAAAGUCCACUUGCCUCUUGAAAAAGCAAACCUCACGGGGUGUUUGUGGGAAAGGAAUGGAUCUAUGCACUUUGUGUCUUGAGUUUCUAAAUGAAAGGUAAGACAGAAAUGUAAUAAGCCAGUUUGGUGUAGUGGUGAAGGUGCCAGCCUAGAAAUCAAGAGGUGAUGGUGAGUUCUAGUCCCACCUUAGGCAUGAAAGUCAGCUGGUGACAAUGGGUCAAUCACCAGGGGACUGGGAGUUCUAGUCCCACCUUAAGGCAUGAAAGCCAACUGGGUGACAAUGGGUCAAUCACCAGGGGACUGGGAGUUCUAGUCCCAUCUUAGGCAAGAGAGCCAGCUGUAUGACUCUAGGUCAACCACUCGUAGUCCAACCCACCUCACAAGGUUAUUGUUGGGGAAAGAGGAGGAGGAAGGAGUAUUAUGUAUAUUCACUACUUUGAGUUGCUUGUAAUCUUACAAAAAUCAAAUAAAUAGGGUUGUGAACAGUAUUACACUUCUGGCUACAAACUGGUAUGGGGUGGGGCUGGGGGCUGGAAGAGUGUCAUACAACCUUGGGUGUGGUUGGUGACUUGAGGGCUCUCCCCAUCUCCUUUUUUGAUUCUUGUGAUUUAUAACUUUUUAAACUUGUUUUAAUUCUCUUUUCAACAUUGUUUUUUACUAUGUUUCUUUGGUUUUUAUUUGUAAACCACCCGGAGUCAUUCAGAUGAAAAGAGCAAUUUACAAGUUUGAUAAAUAAGUACUAAAAUGGAAGUAGUUUCAUAUAAUGCAAGAAACCAUAGUUUAUACUGGUGUUGGUUUGUUGAAAACAUCAUAGUCAAGUUGAGAUAAUAAUCUCAGCCAGGACUGAGCAACUUAAGAUAUCAAGCUUGGAUGCACCACCCCAGACCAAUUUCUAGUGACCACAGGAAAGUGAGAAGGGUAAUUUAAAUCUUUUCAGGAGGUUAACUUACUUUAUUUAAAGAUAUGCCACCACAAGUAAUCUGUUGUCCAGUUUCAAGGUAUACAGAAAAUCCUGGCUUUGUCCACGUAAAUCACUUUCCCCUCUUCAGCUCUCCUGCUCCCCAACAAUGGUUCUGAGUCCCCCAGCCAGCCAAAUAUUGUCUACCCAGCUAUAAGUCCGUAGUUUACAAACCAGAAUAGCUAGGUUAGCAUGGCAAGUCAGACACAAAGGCACCAUUCUAGGACUUAGAAUAAUGUAUAAACUUGGACGGCCAAUGUUAUUUUUUCAUCUCCCAUUACAGACUGUGGGCAGAUGCAAUAAAUGUGCAUUAUCAUAUUGCCUUGGUAGCUCAUAUAUCAAAAGAAGUCUCACUGUCUAAUUUGACACUCCAUGUACUCGUGUGUCAGGAAACAUCCUCACUAGAGCAUACAAGGACUAUGCCCUCUGUUUGAAAGUACUUUUUCAAAUUAUUAUUGGGUUUUUUUAAAACUAGGACUUUCCAAAACCGCUUUUGCGACUGGACAUACUGGUAGUGCUCCACUUAACUUUUCAACAAAGUGACCAUCUCCUUGGAGAAUUGAAAUUAGCUGAACCAAAGGUGCUUUUCAAAAGGCAACUGGACUUAGUUUUUCCUUGAAGAUGUUUUGCUUCUCAUCCAAGAAGCUUCUUCAAUUUUGACUUUUGAAAAAGCACCUUUGGAACAACCAUGACCUGGAUGACUGAAAAUCUCCACAGAAAUUAGCUGAGGUAGAAAAGCAGAUGGUAGAAGAAGUGUCACUGACUUGCUUUAGGAUAAAUGGAUGUUUCCAUAAAAAGCCAUUAUGGAAACCAUUUUGUUGGCAUCCAUAACAGACUCUCAAACCUCCAAGCCAUAAUAUAAUUUGGUUUUAGUCAAACCUGGAGAAUGGUUUAGCAUGAUAUUUGAAUCAGAUGAUUAUGAUUUGUUCAGCUAAUCAUUGUUUAAAUAAAUCAUUGGUUUAGCAUAAGAUAAAGGUAAUGUACAUGCUUGCCUCCAUGAACAGAAGAGUUCUGGAACGGUUGUGCAAAUACAAUAUAUUGUGACUUUUUCCUGAUUGAAAUAAAAUCUGAAAGUCAAAGUCCUCUCCUUCGGAUUGUUUACAAAACAACAAAUGGAGACUGUACAAAGGGCCUGACAAAAGUGGUUUAUAGAAAGUCACUGUUGAGACUCUCAUUCCAUUCAUAAAUGAAGCUCUAACAGUACAGUUCAAAAGUUAUUCCUGAUUCUAAAUUGAAUGUAGGUGGAAAGAAUUCUUAGGUUAUUCUUAAGAUUAAUGGUGGAAUGUUGAGGACAUGCUGACUCUUGUACCUGUGAUUUGAUACAUUUUUAGGACUUUGUAGGUUAGUCUUCAGUUACGCAUGGAGGUAAAAGAAAGUCAUGGAGUGCAGAUGCUCAGAUUUCUACUUUCAUCCUUUGGUUGAGGCCUCUUAGAAAUCAUCGCAAACCCCUAUGUUAUGUACACCUGAUCCAUAUCACAUGCUAAGCUAUUCUAUGAUUUGACUGGUUUCUUUACUUAUGUAUUUGAUUAUAUUUUUAUAACUUGCUUCAGUCUGGAUGGUAUUCAACAAUAUAUAUAUAUUGGAAAGCAGAAAAAAUUCCUACAAAGGGAGAGUUAAUUAAGAAAAUAUUAGAAUGUGCAGAAAUGAGUAGAUUAACAUUAGCAAUAAGAGGGAAGGAAGAAUCGGAGUAUUACAACAUAUGGGGGCAAUUUUAUCAAUGGAUAGAGAUUGAAUAUAAACAAUAGACAAUGUAAAAAUAAGAAACAUGGGAAAAAUAUGUUGUAAUACAUUAAGUUUAAAUGUAAGAAGGAAGAUAAAUAUGUACUAAGAAAAUGAUGAUAAAUGUUGAAUAUGAUGACACAAAAUUUUUGGUACCCAAAUGUUACACUGAUUGAUUAAUGAUGAAUUGUUUGUUUCAAAAUAAAAAUAAAAACCUUAAAAAAAGAAAGAAACCAAAAGUAAACUCAAGACCCCAAGCAGUCAUGUGGGGCCAAAGAUUUGUUAAGAUAAAACUGCUUUAAGAUGUUUCUCAAGUAUCCAUAAUGUAGGGAUGUACUGUAUAAACUGUAUAUAGCAGAUGGGGUUUGCAGAAGCACAAAGACAGUGCUGUGUUUUUAAAAGAUACACAGUGUUGCAGCACUCGAACCUAAGAAGGUUUGAGAAGGCUGCUCAUCCUUCACAUUUAUGUAUAAUUUUAUAUUUAAAAAAAUAGAACUGUAUAUUGCAAGCCUGCUCGUUUGUUUGUUCCAAAAAGUUAGUUCAAUUUUCAAAUUCUGGUAUGUCUCAGACAAAUAAUAGUUCAGUUCUUCCUCCCUCCCUCUAAAUUGGUUAAAACAAAAGCAGAAGUCCUUAAAGUAACUGGAUGAAGCACAUGUUCUUAUUCUCACACUGAGGCCAUGAACACAGUAUGACAAAUAAAUGUGUCUUGAAAACGUCAUAGGGCUCUGUGAUCAUAGUAAAUGAAAUGACCUUUGAGCAAAAUUGGGUUUUGUGCAAUAUUUUGUUUGAACCUCUGGCUACCUCAACCUGUGACUUUUCUGGUGGCUUGCAACACUCAACAAAUCGCAGGACUCAACAAAUCAUCAGCUCUUCCCAGAGUUGGCUAUACUGGCCAGAGGUGGUGCAGGUUUCAGUCUGAUUCACAUGGUCUCUGCUAAGCUGAGAAACACUGCUAUAAUAAUAGUUCUAAAUCACUGUUUCCCCUGUCAGCAAUUUUUAAGUUCUGUAAAGUUCUGCAUCUCCCAAAAUUCUCAGCUACCAUUUGUACAGAUAUAAAGAGCAAUAAUGUCACAGUGGCCCUAAUAGAACUGUCAAAAUGCUUUAGGAGCAAAGCCAAAGCCCAACUCCACAAUUAAAUUGUGUCAGUUUUUCUUAUAUCUUCUGAAGGGACAUGGCUUCCCCAAAGAAAACUGGUUUUGUGUCAGAAUUUUUGGCUGGAGAUCAUUUUGUUUCUGUUGUGGGGAGAAGGAAAUAUUGCUAGACCACAUUAUAGAUUAAUGGAGAGGAUUUAUUCUAAUUCAACCUUUUCCAGUUGGAUAUAUACUGUAUUUAGCUCAGGUUGGACUGUAAGAGUCCUUAUCUCUAUAGACAAUUUCACCUUAGGCUACCUGUGGACUCCACCUGACCCGCAAGUCCCAGUCUGAAAUAAUAAAUCUUCCUAAAACAUACUGCAAAUACUUCCUUUGGUAUGGUCUGCCCCUCUCAACCUCCUCUGACCAUUUCUGAAUAUCGAGUCAUUAUUAGAUCUUUGAUAAAAUGGCCUAUUACAUGCUGUUCAACUUCGACCUUCCUCCCCCCCCUUCCUAAGAAGGCAUUUGGAAAACAGUGAGAUUGCAUUUUUGAACAAAGCAUACAAACUUUUGAGAACAAGAACAAUUAUUCUCCCUGUGCCAAUAUCAUAGCUGAAGGCACAGCACACACACACACAAAAGAAAAAGACAGCACAGCAUUUCUGAAACUAACAAAGAAGUCCUUGGGUAUUUAAGGGCUGCAUAUUUUUCUUUCUUAAAAUGUCAGUUAUUCACCCUUCUACCUGGUGGAGUUUUCCUGACGACAUUAACUCACCUACUGGGAUGCCACAUGGUGAGCAUUUGUUAGUCAUUCUCAGCCAUUAGUGUGGCUGUUCAGUUGUGCUGCCUCCUCCAUUCAGCCCUUAUAGAGCUUAGCUUCCUUAGUGAUCCUUUGUUGAACCCAACUUUUCCUAUGAUAUAGAAAGAGCAACUAACAUAAUGGAGGGAUUUUUGCAGGCCGUUGUUACUUUUGAGUACUGUGCCUUUGGCAUUUUCCACCACAGAAAAUAGAGAGUAAAGUUGCAUAAAAGAAGCUUAGUAUCCAGACAAUGUAGCAUCAUGGAAACAGGAGAUUAAAUUGGGAUAGUUUUGGUAAUGUUUGAAAUAGCUGCCGAAGAAUGACUUCUUGUAUAUUUUUUAACCUAUUUUUAUUUUAUUCAAAACAGUUAAAAUCAAGAAGGACAAAAUACAGAACUCAAAAUUAAAAUUGAGAAGGACAAAAGGAAAAAGUCAAAACAUUAAAAAUAUGCAUCAAAAAGAAGACAUUGUACAUGUAUUGUCCACUCUAUUUGAAUACUGAUUAAUAUAUUACUACAACAUUAGUUCCCACCCUUUGCAAAACAAGCCCUCCAAAAUAUUUUAAACUACUAAAUCUAUUUGCACCUUGUUGACCUGUCUUCUAUAUGUUAUAUUAAUGACCAAAUAGUUACCAGGAAAAAUAAUAUUAGUGAAAAAAAAAGAAAAUUAGAGUUUCAAAACUCUCGGUUAAGAGAUAGUUAUUAUAAUCCACUUGUAGAAAAUUUAUCAUGGCAUCUUAUUUAUUCCAUAUCAUCCCAAAAGUUAUAAAAUUGCCCUGAGUCAAAUAUCCAUGUUUAUUUCUUAGUAUCAUCUCUAGUCAAUUGUUUAAUUACAUGUAGUAAAUUCAGUCUUCAAAAUACGUCUACCUUCUCAUCAAAGUGCAGGCACAGAUAAUUGUCAAUUAUAAUAAAUAAAUUUGUCCAGUCUCCCUCAGACUUCGUAAAGGUCUGAAUCUGUCUCUUUCCUUUUUAGUCAAAGCCAUAACGUUGAAAUAAUGUGUCUUCAGAACAAGCAGAUGAAAUCGGAACCGCAGAUUAAAUCCACUUUGCUGGUUCACCAGCUGUGAGGCUAUCUCUUUGAUCUGGAAUUGAAUGAAAGUCAUUUUGUGUAUCUUCAUCCACAUCCAAAGAUAAAUCUUCAAAUCUUAACAUUCUUUUAACAAUCAUUAAAGUUAGAUCAAGUUUUUGAGAAAGGAAUUCAGCUAAAAGCUGCACAUCUCCCAACUCUCCUUUCUUAGAUUUCAGAGACUCUUCAGCCAUUGUAAUCUGUGAAAUUUAGCCAAAGAACAAAGAAAAGUAUGUUUGCCUCUAUAUAUCAAUCCAAGAUUAUAAGAAAAGUUUAAUGGAAAUAAACUCAAGGUGUUUUGCAAAUUCAAAAAAUACAGAAUCCAGUGGUGAGAGUCUAAGAACACUUAACCUCCACCCAAACAUUACCAUGCUUUCCACGUGGAAGGGACAGAAGUUAUCCAAAACAAUAUAUAUCAAAAGGGGGAAAAAAGCAAAAGCAAAAAGAGUUCUGCAAGUGGUAGAGAUAAACCAGGACCCAACUGUUAAUCAACUUUUAAAGCAAUAAACAAAAUAAAACAGUGAAAUCAAAAAUUAAAAGAUAUAAUUCCGGCAUGCUUAGAAAACAAAAUUGUUUGACAAGAAGAUGGAUGCGCCCAAUGAUUUUCAACUGCUUCCAGUGGGAAUUGGAAUCUUCAAGACCCUCCUUGCCGACUUGCCUACAGGGUCCACAAUCGUCCAAAAGUCAUCUUGGAUCACUUCUAAGUGCUCCCAUUCAAAACCAGGGAGCAGCACUGCCAAAGAACCAGCUUUAGCAGUGAAAUCAGCAGAUCAUUGAUCAUUAUCUGAAAGCCAAGUUCGAUGCAAUGCAUUAGUUUGCACUGCAUUCUGAAGUUUCACAUAACUCCGGAUAACUGAGGUGCAGGGUCCAACAAGCGCCACCUUGUGAGACCAAACAUAGCAUCUGGGUCUAACUGGGCAUUUUUCAUAUCUGCAUUUGCUGUAUCUUGCAAUCUUUGCUUUGGCUUUCCACGCGGGAACUUGUCAUCUAUAUUUGGCAUUACUCUCAGUGACAUGCUUCAGGCAAAAAUAUUUCCUGGAUGGGAGAAAGAAGGAUUAUGGCAGCAGUGAAAAACAGCUACAUUGCCAUGGCAGAUAAAAAAAGUUUCUGACCUCCAAAAAUGACUCAUAGAUGACUAUAUCUCCUUGGCAUUUAUUUUUAUUUCCCUAACUGAAUUACCCUCAGUAGCAACUGUAAGUCAACACCACCUUUUAUUCAUACUGUAUUCAUAUCUGUAUUCUGAAUCCCAUGAACAAUUUGGAAAUGAGUUUCCCAUUAACUGGCUGAAACUGCUGGUUCCAAGGGGGACUCAUGGUAUGGGUUCCUCAUUCGGAUUAAUAGAAGCCACUCAUUCUCUCACCAUGGCAGCGCAGCUAGAUAAAGAUCUUUAUUAUGUGCUAAGGUUAGGCAGUGGAUUGCCCUCUGUCAUCACAAAGGGGAAAUCUUUGUUCUAUGUGCUGCCGCUUAAUUGCAGUAUUUCUUUCCUGUCCUUAAUGGACGUUCCAUCCUUGUACUUCUCAGCUUUCAAACUAGGCAACUGUUGGAUGGUGAUAUUACUGGCAUUUUUUCAUGGAGGAACUUGAGUGCCUAAGAUAACUCUUUCAUGUGGCAGGUCUGAGAGCGCCUAACAUAACUCUUGCACAGG